AUGCUUAACACAUGCAAGUCGAACGAGAAAGUGGAGCAAUCCAUGAGUAAAGUGGCGACCGGGUGAGUAACACGUGACUAACCUACCCUAGAGUGGGGAAUAACCUCGGGAAACCGGGGCUAAUACCGCAUAACAUCGCGAGGGGAAGAUCCUUGCGAUCAAAGGAGCAAUUCGCCCAAGGAGGGGGUCGCGGCUGAUUAGUUAGUUGGUGAGGUAACGGCUCACCAAGACAGAGAUCAGUAGCCGGCCUGAGAGGGCGCACGGCCACACUGGAACUGAAACACGGUCCAGACUCCUACGGGAGGCAGCAGUGGGGAAUUUUGCGCAAUGGGGGAAACCCUGACGCAGCAACGCCGCGUGGAGGAUGAAGUCCCUUGGGACGUAAACUCCUUUCGACCGGGACGAUUAUGACGGUACCGGUGGAAGAAGCCCCGGCUAACUUCGUGCCAGCAGCCGCGGUAAUACGAGGGGGGCGAGCGUUGUUCGGAAUUAUUGGGCGUAAAGGGUGCGUAGGCGGUGCGGUAAGUCACCUGUGAAACCUCUGGGCUUAACUCAGAGCCUGCAGGCGAAACUGCCGUGCUGGAGUGUGGGAGAGGUGCGUGGAAUUCCCGGUGUAGCGGUGAAAUGCGUAGAUAUCGGAAGGAACACCAGUGG
rnacentral:rRNA from 1 species